rnacentral:lncRNA from 1 species
AAUUUCCGGUAACAUAUCAGCACUUGGCCUUCACUGAGUCUGAUACACGCCAAAGAAAUACGAAAAAAAAAACAGAGAAAAACCCUAGAAUUUUUUAUUCUCCGCCGCGCUCGCUCCAACACGCAAGAUAGCCUCACCAGUCACCAGCGCCUCUACCUAACUUCUACCUCUUUCGCCUUUUUCUGUUCCUUUUCUUUGCAUUUUAUUGUGUUUUGUCUGAUAAUUGUUUUUUCUGCACCAAUUGAAAGAACGCACAGAAGAAGAAGAAGAAGGGGCGCAGUCACCCUCACCAGAUUGGCAACUCCGCCCCCAAGCGCCGCCCACAGCUCCUGCCUGGAGCAACUCUGGCGCUCACCCUCAGCCCAGCCUCAUCUCGGCCGCAACCCAGCCUUGCUCCUGCGAUCUGACCCGCUCCGGCAACAGCCCGGCCUUCCAGAUCGGACCGCAUCCCUGUGCAAGGCUAGCACAGAUCUCCGUCGCGAACCCAACACGUCGCCGACGGACCCCUUCCCAGCCCAGCCUUGUGCGCCGCCUAUCGAGAUUGAUCCACCCGAGCUCCGAUCGGGACUGGCUCGAUCCGAAUCCGGCAAUAGAGCCCUACCCGGCGUUAGAUCCAAACCGAUCCGGAAAAAAUGGGUUUUACCCUUUUCUGGUAAAUCAGAUAUUUACAAAGGUAAUUUCACAAAGUUACCAAAUGAUGGUUUUAAGAGUUAGUGUUUACGAUUAUAGAUUUACUCUUUACUGUUUACUGUUUUAUGGAAAUUAAAAUGGUAAAACAGAAAAGUAAUUACUGUUUAAGUUAUUUACUAUUUUACAGUAACACCAUUUUUUACUAAUUAUUUAUGAUUAAUUAUAACGAGUACAUCACUGUAUAUAUGGUUACAUGUUACUAAUUAAUCAUAUAAAUCUUAGGGAAAAAGACCAUUUGCACAAAAUAGAAAAAGUCAAACCCCAUUUCAAUGAUAAUCUUUUUUAUUAGCCCAUUUGAAUACAAGGUAUUUAUUUUAAGCUCAAAUACAUAAAUUUUUAUUAAAAUAUAAUAAAAUGAUAUUUUAAAAGACUUUUUUACCCUUAACCUUUAUUUAAAGAGAAAAAAAGAAAAAGAAGAAGGGAAGACUUUCCCGGAAGCACACCGGACACCAGCGCCGGUCGACGGUCACCGGAUUCCGGUCGCCGAACACCGGUUGCCUAAUUCUCGUCACCGGACACUGGCCGCCGGAUUUCGGACACCGGUCGCCGAAAAAUUGAUGGUGAUCGGAAAAUCGCUGGAGACGCCGGAGUCUCAUUGGAUUUUUUUGAAAAAAAUGUCACCAGAACCCACCGGAUCUUGCCGGAAGCAUACCGGCAAAAAAUGAAGUUUACUACCCCUAGUAAACUUUUACUGGGGGUAGUAAACUUACAAAACAGUAGCUCCAAUACCAUAAUUCACAUUGAAAAAGAGAAAAAUCAACUUAGAUGCGAAAAAAUGAAGUUUACUACCCCUAGUAAAUUUUACUAGGGGUAGUAAACUUGCAAAACAGUAGCUCCAAUGCCAUAAUCACAUUAAAAAGAGAAAAAUCAACUUAGAUGCGAAAAAUAAAGUUUACUGAAGGGGUUAGUAAACUUUUACUUAAAAUUUACUACCCCCUAGUAAACUUCUACUGAAGAUAGUAAACUUGCAAAACGGUAUCUACAAAUGCCAUAAUACACAUUAAAAUGGAGAAAAAUUAACUUAGAUGCGAAAAAAUAAAGUUUACUGGGAGUAGUAAAUUUUUUACUAAAGUUUAUUACCCCUAGUAAACUUCUAAUGGGAGCAGUUAACUUGUAAACAGUAUCUCCAAAUGUCAUAAUACACAAUAAAACAAAGGAAAAAUCAACUUAAUUACGAAAAAACAAAAUUUACUGGGGGUAGUAAAUUAGUAAAACCAAUGAACUCAUACUAUUCAAUCUGAAACUAUUCAAACAUACAUCCUUGGUAAGAAACCAAAUGAUUCCAAAUUCAAAUCACAUUUGCGGUUGAAACUUGAGGAUCAUGGAGAUUCAAAUCAUACGAAAAUACAAAUCACACGAAAAUUGAGGAUUGUUCCUGAGGAGCCUGCCAAUUUGAUCGUCCUGAUCUCCAACGCCGGCGACCGAGGAUUCUGGUUCAGAAUCGAAAGUGAAUCGGAUUUCCCUUCCAAGCAAAUCUGAAUCCACUAAAUCUGUACAUCACGAUGAACAAUUUGACCACCGGAAGAGGAAACAGAGCUUACCGGGAGGUUUACAUGACGGUCGACGGCGAGCUGGUCGGGUCGGAGGUGCCGUUUCCGAUGGUGUUCACCGACGAGAUGAAUCCAGAGAUCGUUGCAAGCGAGAGGCCCGGUUGUCGAGGAAGAUGGUGACGGUGUAGUGCCGAUGCUCCUUGCUCGAGGGCGUCGGUGGCAACGCUGUCUUCCACCAUGGAAGUUCGUCGAGGUGAGAGAGAGGAAGAGAGAGGAGAGAUGAGAGAUGAGUGAGAAGUGAUCGGGAAAGAAGAUAAGAAAGGAGUGGUGGGAAUAGAACAGUGGGUAUAAAUGUCUUUUUCUUAUGAAUAAUUGAGAUGGGCCUUGGGAAAAGAUUAUCAUUGAUGUGGGCAAUAAAUCUUUAAAAUUAGUAUCAUUAAGGCAUUUACUCUAAAUCUUAUUGUGUUUACUAAUUAAUCAUAUAAAUCUUAUUGUGUUUGCAUAUGAUAUACCCAUUGCCGUGUGACGAUCAACAUGUCAAUUUGGGUGGCAACCCGAUCAAAAUGUUCAUUGCGAGAGAAAGCACAUCAUACGCAAUCUAUUUGGCAGACUCACAAGUAUGAUUUACUGUCACACCCCAACUCGAGUAAAGGUAUAAUCUCGAGUUGAGAUGUGAAUCACACUCUAAUUACAGACAGUUUAAUAUCCAUAAUUAAAAUGAGACUGAUAUCAUUACAUGACGUAAGAAAAAAAACGAUCGCACCUUUAUUUAUAUUACAAACCUUUAAAAAGGGUGCUAAAAGCACACAGGUUUAAAGUAUUUACAAACAAACAGCAAACAAACCAAAACAAAAAUAGCGUUACUCCUCAUAACGUCUAUUCUUUAUUCAAUCUCUAUUUACAAACAAACAAAAGCAAAAAGGUUCUAAUUUGCAUUAUAAGAUUUCCAAAACACUUCGAGAAAACACCUGCAAUGGGUUUGAAUGGGAUGAGCUACACUUAACAAUACUAGAUAAAUAAAUAUAGCACAUCGCAACAAUGGCAACGAAACAAAUAAACAUAUUAAGAAUGCAAGUAUGCAAUGUUCGACUCAACUCUUCCCACUUCACAUCACCCUCAUAAAACUCUUCUCAUUUGUUAGUCAUCUUGUUAUACUCAUGGCCUCCAAACCCGAAACCCGAUUAGAUAGUUUUAUCGACUCCGGCGUCGAUAGGGCUUCACUCCCCUCUUCGUGCACAUGUGGGUUACCGUAGGUCUUGGAUGCCCCAUGAGGAAACUCAACUACACAAACGAUUUCCUAAUAGCAAUAUCCCAUACAAUCCCAAGAACUCAUUCAUUUUUCAACUUCCAUCGUGUACUCACUUUUCUCACAAUGUCAUGUAAUAAUAAAUCAAAUAGAACAUGCUUUCAUAUAUGAGCAUAUCAUAAUCAAAUCAAUAAGCAUAAUCUCCAAUGAUCAUAUAUCUAAGUCAAAAGACCAGUUCAAUAUCAAACAAUGCCAACAAUAUCGCACACAUCAAUGUCAAACAACUCCAACAAUAGCCAAACAAUUCAAGCAUAAUCACAACAUAAAACAAACGCCCCAUCAAACCCUACCUCGAAUUGCGCAACGCAAACCCGAGCUCUAGCUCUGUUGCCUACUCUUGUGGAUCACCAACGACCUCCUCGGAACCUUACCAAAUGGUAAAGUACAUACAAAGUUAGUAACUACCUUAAAGCAACUCAACACAAGGAACUUUCAAUUGCCAAAAAAAUAUAACUUAAUGUCGUAACAUUAAGCAAUUUACUGUCUGGACACUUUAACAAACAAAGGAUUCGAAGUAAACCACAAGUAAUCCAUCUUAACACAACUAGUACCAAAACAGUUUCCUGACCCAGUCCCUUUCACAAUGGAAUCUAGGUAAAACCAUAAAGAAUUUUAACUUCGUGGUCCUCUAAGGAAAUAAACUAGACAUCCUAAUGAAGAUCUUAGAAGUUGAAUCACCUGAAAAUGAUUUUCUAGAAAUAGUUAUGAAUUUCGAAAGUCUACUGAUAUGCACCAGUAAAAACAGAUAUAGCUGUGUAAGUGACAGAUUUGGGCAAGGAUUUUCACAUACCAAAAGUAACCCAAAACUAACGAAAUUUGGUACGUAUAUAGAGGGAUAUAUGAAGUUUACAAUACCACUUUUGGAAUCGAAAACAAAGAACUGAGCUAAAAGUUAUGAUGUUGUAAAGUUGGUCCGAAAUCAUGGUUUUCUGCACUUUUCUGGAAAAUUUCCAGCAACACGAAAUUUCGAAUUUGAAGACUUUGAUUCGAUUUAUGGAGUAGUAAAAGAGAUUAUAAAGCUUCAAAAUAGUUAGACAACAUUUCCAGAGCUCUAAGAUGUUCCUAAACACAACCAACAAUGAAUCAAAAAGAUCCAAAAUCUGAUUUGGACACCCAACUCAAGAACAUCUCAAGAACACCAUUCUUUUAGAGCUGCAAUCACUACGACUUCUAAACAAAACAAAAUGAAAUUCUAACUAACUCUGAUAUCUAACCAGGUCUGUGAAUUCGAAGUCCAAAUACUACUGUAUAAUUAAUCAUAGGAAACAUAUAAUUGAACAAAAAUAAGAAUCAAGGAUCAAGGUAAUUGAUAUCUCAAGAACUGAAUUCGAAAAUACCAAAGGGGAUGAGAAUCCUACCUUACACAGAGACAAGACCAAACUAAGUUUCCCUCUCACACCCACUAAGUUUCUAUUUGUUUUCCAAAACUCUCUCUUUGCUCCUCCCAUCUGUUUUUGAUCGAAAUCCAGUCUCCUCUUCUCCCAAUCCAUCUUAAUCUACUAGCCCAACUCUCUAGGCUCUCCUAUGUAUGCCAUCUCUCACUUUGCAUGCGUGCUGAGAGAGAGCACGACAAAAAGGGAAUGAUUGCUGCGUUCUUACUGAACGUAGUAAUUAAUUUUUUUUUUGACAAAAGUAAAAAUACCUAAAAUCUCAAUAAAACUAAAAAAUAACCUAAUAAAACAAACAAAAUAGUUUAGGAUAUUAGAUUUACGUUAAAGUUGCCCUUUUUGUUUAAAUUUUUUGCUAAUACAUGAUAUUUAGCAUGUUACUUGAAAAAUUAUUUUGUGAUCGUUGUGACAUGUUACAAUGUUAUAUGCUAUGCUUUAUUCAAAAAUGUUAUAUGCUAUGCAUAUGUAAUUUAAUUAAAUGAUUAUUUAUUAGCAUAUCAUAUAAAUUGUGUUGCUAUGAUAAAGCAAAUUGAUAACAUCAAAAUGACAAACUUGUGAUGAAGCAAUUUCACAAAGCAUCAAAAAAGAACGUGACCACUAUGAAUCUUGAUCCUCAAAUCUAAUUCAUAUAUUUUGGAAAUUGAUUGACGUGGAUGUCUAUAUGACUGCAUAGAAAGAAUGAUAAUGAAAUUUCAUGAGCGUAUACGGUAAAGAAAAUGAUUAAAUCGUAAAUUUUAUUGUGAUAACGAAAUUUCACAUUCGAAACGAAGAUUCCGCAUCUUAGAAUACUAUAGUACUCGUGGUUGUCUAUUGAGACUGUGACACUCGUAUAUCUUCUCCUUACUCUAUUUUACAGAUGGUUGAACCAUCAUAGCUGGACUUUAAUUCACUGGACUCUGUAGAACUUGAGUACCAAUUUGUUCCUCUAUUAAGCCAAUCAAGGCUCGAGCAUGGUAAAAUUAUGGAAACACUUUUCCACAAGUAGUUUAAUUAGCAUUUCUUAAACGACAAUGUAAGGUCCGUCAGGCGUCAGCAUAAAGACAUUUCUUAAAAAUAUAAAAGAAAUCUCAAAGCAAAGGGCAAUUACCAUGUACAUGUAGAUCCCUACAAUCGUUCAAAAGCAUGUGGGAACAAUGCACCACGUGAAAGAGGGUCUAGGGGACGUGACAUAAGGAGUGACGCACACUGCCAUUUUUUUUUUAAUAAACAAAACAUUCAUAAAUAUUGCAAGUCAGCAUAUGAAAUAGCUGUGACUUACAAGUAGUAUAGAGAAUCAUGGAAGCACGGGGAAUUGAAAAAGUAUAUUCAAAUACUCGGACUGAAAAAAGAUUAUCAAUCCCUUGAAGCUUACCAAUGGAAGAAGAUAAAGUGAUGCAAGAAUGUUUUAGACUUCGGUUAAAACUGCUCUAAGUUUUCUAAGAUACUUUAUGUAAAAUCUAUUAUGCAUUCAUUUAAUUAGACUGUUGUUUUGGUCUUAAAGUUUAGGACUAAUUUCAGUUUACUCCCAUUAACUUUAGGUCGAUCAUCAUGUUAGUCAUUUUUCUUUCAAUUUCAUCAAAAACACCCCUCAACUCCCAAUUUUCAUCAGCCGCGCAUGUCUAAACCUCCAAUCUCCAUCCAAUUCCUCUGUCAAGUGAUGACUUGAUAUCAAGAAGAAAGUCAAAUUCUGAAAGUUACCUUUCGCACCAUUUUUCCCCCAUAUCGAUACACAUCUUCGUUCUCAUCACAACCCCCUAACCUUAGUAAUUUUGGUGGGAUUGAAUGCAAUUUGUCUAUUUUUCCUUUUUCCUUUUUUCUUUUUUCUUGAUAUCAAGUCAUCACUUGACAAAUGAAUUGGAUGGAGAUUGGAAGUUUGGACAUGCGCGGCUGAUGAAAAUUGGGAGUUAAGGGGUGCUUUUGAUGAAAUUGAAAGAAGAAAGACUAACAUGAUAAUCGACCUAAGUUGAUGGGGGUAAACUGAAAUUAGUUCUAAAGUUUAUGUGGAUAAUGCGUACUGAAUUAGAUGAGACUUUGAUUUAUAUUCUGAAGCAUUGAAUUUAUUCAAUUUUUAUUUACUAUAAAUAUACAUGGUUCAACAUAUCAUCAUAAAGAUGCGAAGCAAUGCAUCCAACAAAUAAAAAUAAGGUUAUUCAAAUGAAAAGCAUAUCAUUCUAUCGACAUCAAAAUACUCAAAAGAAUAUGAGGUAUACCUUUCGGAUUAUAUAUACUCCCAUAUACUUUAAGGAAUGUAUAUAUGUAGGAGUAAAAAGGUGCUUAGUGAGAUUACUCAUAUUACUUUAAGGACUAAGCUAGGUAAUUAUUUAUGUCUUAUAAUUCUACUGUGACUAUGAUGACUUGAUCAUCACAACUAAUAAAUAGCGAGGCACUCUCUGAAAUCUGUUGCCUAAUGGCAUAAAAAUUAAAGUCAUAGAAGCUCUGUGUUCCCCACGAGCUAAUCGAACCUCGUUAAAGUUAUAAAGAAAUUCGUGCCAACGAUUAUCAUAUGAAAACCUAAUGUGAGAAUGGAAUGGAACUACCUCAAAUAAAUGCGAAUGGAAACGCAUUUUGAAGAACUGAACGAGUCACCUACAUUGAAAUGUAGGAUACUGACUCACAAAGGCUUUGAUAUGACCACUUAGAACACCGUGGUUUGGACAUGGGAUCCGUACUUUAAAGAAACUCACACAGACAUCGAUCCUAUCUUUUGAGUGAAUAAUAAAAUGGGACAAAAGUCUGUCACACUGCAAGGUGACGACACUAACUCUGACCGCAUGCACUGGUCGUUCCUAGCUAAUGCUACUCCAAUGCAGUCAUUGCACUCUAAAGCACCUGAUGCUUAACAUGCCUCCUAUUAGGCCUUGUUGAUUAGUUCAAAGGCACAUCACUCAUUUUGCAAAGCCUAUUCUUUAGCAAAAACAGGAUCAAGACCUUCCUAUGCUAAAGAUAACCAAAAUAUUCCAUUCUUACCAAGAAUAUAAUGUGAUAUGUGGACAUAUCCAUCCAGAAAUGCGGACCAUUACAAUACUUUAUGGUUAUGGAGGACAUUUCGACACACUGGUCACAAGUCGAAUAAUUAUCUACUAGAAAUGCUGCAUUUGCAAACUCUGAUCAUCAAUUCCAUAAGACUUGACAAAGCUGAGAUCUAGAGUUCACAUCAAAAGGACUUGAUGCUUAUUGCAUGACGAUCAAGAUUGAUGUAAAACAUCUUGACACCCCAGAUGCAUACUCACAAUGGUCUCGUAGAAGCCACCAUAGAGGGUGGCUAGGGCACUGAUUAUGCACACCAAUCUGUCUAUACCUACUUUGGAUUAUGCAAUAUUGCACGCAAUUUUACUUAUUCGUUUUUAGGCCCACUGCUAGCCAACUAUUUCAUGCGUACCAGUUGGAAACUAGACAUGAGCCUGAGAUUUACACAUUUGGUUGUGCAGCAUAUGUGCCUAUUGCGCUCCCACAACACAUCAAAAUGGGUCACCAAGAACGAAUAUGUAUAUUUGUUGGAUACAAACCUCUAACGAUUAUCUGCUAUUCAGAACCUUUACAGACAAUCUCACCGCUCGAUUUACAGAUUGUCACUUUGAUGAGAUAGUCUUCUGGUCAUUACAGGGAGAUAAGAAAAAUAAUUUUCUAUGGGAACGACAUGAAUUGUCGUGGUUGUCCCCACUCUGUCUCAUCCAGAUCCCCAUAUAAUCAAUAUCUAGAACGUAACAGUUUUGAUGCCUGAUGUAUUUAAAGAUAUUGCCAAAGUGAUGAGAUCAUACAUACUAGCUGCAAACGCCUGCAAGGUUAAAAGUCCCCAAUAAGGGGCACGUUGCCGCAGAUAGAGGCGACGCAACCAUACUUAGUGGAGGUGUGGUUGAGGCCGUGGUUCCCUAAGGGACUAAGGGGAGGCCACUUGGUUCGAUCGAUACUUAUGUAAAUGAAUUGGGCGAAUUAGGCACAACCUCAUCAAUGUAAAGAUUCUCUCUCAUGAGAUCGUCUCUGAUUACAGUUAUGUCCACGAAUCAAUAUUGGAGGACGCUCCGAUGUUUGAAAUGAUUCCAGAGACAAAAUCUCAACGGAUUGCUAGAGUACAUACACAUUGAUGAUUGACACUGUUGCUCAAGGAAUAAUAGAGCAUGAAGGUAUCGAACCACGCUCUGUUGAAGAAUGUCAACAAAGAGCAUAUUGUCCUACAUAAAAGUACAAUUCAGGAAGAGCUAGAUUCUCUAACAAAGAGAUAAGUAUUUGGUUUGGUAGUGCUAACCUUAUCAAGUGUAAAUAAAUAAGUCUUUGUCAUAAAGUGUAAUGAGAAGAAUGAAGCCCUAAAGGACAAGGCUCGCCUUGUGGUGCCAAGGUUUCUCGCAACGCUCUAGAUUGACUACGAGGAGACAUAAUCUCCCAUACUGGAAAUACAGCUCAUCGAUGUGGUUACUACUUAUCUCAAUGGGGAUCUUGAUUAGGAGAUAUUCAUAAAAGUGCCUAAUGGCCUUAAACUAUCCAACUCAAGUAACUAUAAACUACGGAGUGCGUUUGCAAUUAGAAUUGAAACGCUCACUUUAUAGAAGUGACUACUUGGUUGGAAAUGGAUACAAAAUGACGAACAAUGCCUGUGCGUACCCAUAAAGAGAAAAGAGUUCCGGAUUUGCAAUUAUAGCUAGGUAUGUUGAUGAUAGGAACAUAGUAGGUACUCUUGAUGAAAUAAGAGAAACCAUGAGGUACAUGAAAUCCGAAUUGAGAUGAAUAUUCUUGGGAAACUCGGUUAACAACGAGUUUGUGGAACUAAUCCACCAGUCUGCAUGUGUCCAAAAGAUUCUCAUGCGAUUUACUUGGACGAAUUGCAUACUGUUAGCACUCCCAAUGAUUCGUCGAUAUUUGGAUGUAAAGGAAUAAUCCAUUUCGUCUAAAGGAGAUGACGAAGAAAGGUUGAGAAUCGAAAUUCAUUCUCUAAAGUGCAAUAAGCACAAUAUUGUACUUAGCCCGAUGAACUCGACUGGAUAUAACAUUCUCAAAGAAUGGUUGAGAAUCGAAAUCAUAAGCGCAAUUUCGUCCAAAGGAGAUGACGAAGAAGGGUUGAGAAUCGAAAUUCAUUCUCUAAAUUAAGUGCAAUAAGCGCAAUAUUGUACUUAGCCCGAUGAACUCGACUGGAUAUAACAUUCUCAAAGAAUUUAUAUAUAGCUAAACUUAGCUCAGCGCCAACGCAGUGUUAUUAGAAAGUAUAAAGAACGUAUGCUGAUCCCUAAAUGAACCAUUGACUUGGGUUCGUCCUAUCAUUAUAGAAAGACGAAGGGAAUCAAAUGGAACUGCAACCCUUUACAUCAAAACCUCAAACGAUGCUUUGGUUGGGGUUCACUAAUGUCAGGUAUCUAUGGUCAAUAGGUUGUUCCUAAACUGGUUAUGUAAUCGUCAUUGCGAACAUGACGAUACCUCGUGAGAAACAUUAGACUCUCCUCAAGAUUUAAGUGAAUCAAGUAAGGUCCAAGGAGAAUAAGAAAGACUUGUUUCUCAAAUCGCAGCCUACGGCUAUAUCUGAAAGGCAUGUGAGAAACAUAGGAAUGCAAAGACGUUCCUAGCUCACUUGAUUGAUGUAAGGAUCAAGAGGAGUGUAGACUUCAAGGGGAGUCUAACACAUAUAGGUGUGUUGUGCUCUUUUUCUCUUCGACCAAGAUUUAUUUUGUCUCACUGGGUUUUGUUACUUUGCAAGGUUUUUAACGAGGCAAUACCUCAUGCACC